rnacentral:sRNA from 1 species
UUCGUGACCGAGAACACGUCUGUCCUAGGUCUGCGAGUUUGCCCUGAACCUGACCAACGGGAGUGCGCCCGAGGAGACGGUGCCCACCAGCACCCGGCAGCAGCUUAUCGCCACCUGGGUCAAGGCCAAGCAGCUGCUGCAGCAGCAGAUUGGGCCACGGCUGGGCACCGAGGAGCAGGGCACCAAUGAGGAUGUCAGCUCGGUGACCAGAGUCCUCGUUGCCUUGGAAAUGUACUCAUGCAACGGGCUGGGCCUCAUGGACUUCACUGUCCCCUCCCUGGCCCAGUUGGUGAAAAUGGCUUCCGAGUGCAACUGGUCGGACCCCCUGGUGGAGCUGCAGACCCUGACGCGGCUGACCCACUUCGCCCAUGCAGCGCGUGACCAUGAGACCACCAUGGCCUGCGCUCACAGGGCUCUGGAGAUGGGCAUCAAGUACCUGAAGAAAUUUGGGCCGUAAGUAACCCUCAUGACUGGACAAAUUCCCCCAAAACG